AUUGAACGCUGGCGGCAGGCCUAACACAUGCAAGUCGAACGAGUGGCGGACGUGUGAGUAAUGUCUGGGAAACUGCUUGAUGGCUGGGGAUAACUACUGGAAACGGUAGCUAAUCCCGCAUACCAUCGGAUGUGCCAAGAUGGGAUUAGCUAGUAGGUGGGGUAAAGGCUAACCUAGGCGACGAUCCCUAGCUGGUCUGAGAGGAGGACCAGCCACACUGGAACUGAGACACGGGCCAGACUCCUACGGGAGGCAGCAGUGGGGAAUAUUGCACAAUGGGCGAAAGCCUGAUGGAGCCAUGCCGCGUGUAUGAAGAAGGCCUUCGGAUUGUAAAGUACUGUCAGCGGGGAGGCGUUACCCGCAGAAGAAGCACCGGCUAACUCCGUGCCAGCAGCCGCGGUAAUAC
rnacentral:rRNA from 1 species